UAGCCAUGAUGUGAACAAGAAUUCAAAAAAUCUUUGAAUCUCUCCCAACAUUGGAAGAAGAUCUCUUCCUCCUUCUAAGAGAAAUUCAUGAUCACCCUCCUUAGUGU